GACGAACGCUGGCGGCGUGCUUAACACAUGCAAGUCGAACGGAAAGGCCCUGCUUUUGUGGGGUGCUCGAGUGGCGAACGGGUGAGUAACACGUGAGUAACCUGCCCUUGACUUUGGGAUAACUUCAGGAAACUGGGGCUAAUACCGGAUAGGAGCUCCUGCUGCAUGGGGGGGGUUGGAAAGUUUCGGCGGUUGGGGAUGGACUCGCGGCUUAUCAGCUUGUUGGUGGGGUAGUGGCUUACCAAGGCUUUGACGGGUAGCCGGCCUGAGAGGGUGACCGGCCACAUUGGGACUGAGAUACGGCCCAGACUCCUACGGGAGGCAGCAGUGGGGAAUAUUGCACAAUGGGCGGAAGCCUGAUGCAGCAACGCCGCGUGCGGGAUGACUGCCUUCGGGUUGUAAACCGCUUUCGCCUGUGACGAAGCGUGAGUGACGGUAAUGGGUAAAGAAGCACCGGCUAACUACGUG
rnacentral:rRNA from 1 species